rnacentral:tRNA from 1 species
CUCGGCGUACUCGACGUCGGACAGCCGCCCUUCCAUGGUGGCGCGGAACUGCUCGGUGUUCUGGCUCUCCGCGCCGAAG